GAAGGUGGCUGCUAGUGUUCUAAGUUACUACUGAUGUGAACAGAUUCUGACCUUUGGCUGCCUAGUUGUUUUUGAUAAAUUAACUCUUAGAAUAAUGAUAAAUGUCUUGGCCGUUCCUCAAAAACCUUUGGCUGUUUGCAGCAGAUGAUGGAUGUCUAGAAAACACCCCUGACACCGCAGAGUUCAGUCGAGAGUUCCAGUUGCACCAGCAUCUCUUUGAUCCGGAACAUGACUAUCCAGGCUUGGGCAAGUGGAACAAGAAACUCCUUUACGAGAAGAUGAAGGGAGGAGAGAGACGAAAGCGGAGGGUAACACGUGCCUGGCUGGAUUGUUGCGGGGAUGCUUGGAGCUUUCUGAGUGGGGCAGUGAACAGGCUGAAACCCUCGCUUGUUGGGAAGUCACAGAAUCCUCCCUUGUGUAGUCCUGAGAAACACUGGUCCGUGUGACAAAGGCCACACCCAGAAAGUCUGUCCUUGGUUUCUGCGAUGGCUUCCCCAGGCUUUAGCAGAUGAUUUUUAGUGGAACGCCCAGUCUGUAGCGAUUCUAGCAACUCCAUUCCGUUCAGGAAAUGUGUAUUGCUUCCCCCAUCAGUGUGGGACAUAUCUGGGGGGACAUGAGGGUCUGUCUGCCCUCCCAGGGUCUGUAGGCCAGUGGGGAAAACUGAUCACACAUCUGCAUCAAUUCUAUAAAAACACAGGACAGAAACAGGGAAGUGCUGAACUGCAUGCUCCAGGAAAUAAUUUUGAAGGAAUUCGGGAGCAAAAGAUGAGAUGAACAAACUUAAUUUCUCCUAUGUAUCUUUUUUUCUUGGCCUAGCCAGAGUGAUGUAAAAUCUACUAGAUCUGUAAUAUU
rnacentral:sRNA from 1 species